rnacentral:rRNA from 1 species
CCUACGGGGGGCAGCAGUGAGGAAUAUUGGUCAAUGGACGAGAGUCUGAACCAGCCAAGUAGCGUGAAGGAUGACUGCCCUAUGGGUUGUAAACUUCUUUUAUAUGGGAAUAAAAUGUUCCACGUGUGGGAUUUUGUAUGUACCAUAUGAAUAGGGAUCGGCUAACUCCGUGCCAGCAGCCGCGGUAAUACGGAGGAUCCGAGCGUUAUCCGGAUUUAUUGGGUUUAAAGGGAGCGUAGGUGGAUUGUUAAGUCAGUUGUGAAAGUUUGCGGCUCAACCGUAAAAUUGCAGUUGAAACUGGCAGUCUUGAGUACAGUAGAGGUGGGCGGAAUUCGUUGUGUAGCGGUGAAAUGCUUAGAUAUCACGAAGAACUCCGAUUGCGAAGGCAGUUCACUGGACUGCAACUGACACUGAGGCUCGAAAGUGUGGGUAUCAAACAGGAUUAGAUACCCGAGUAGUC